ensembl:lncRNA
GCCUGAGCGGGGAUUUUUUUUAUAUAUAUCAAACUGCUGCUUACGUCUCAUUGCUUUGGGCAAUGAGACAGGAAAUGUCUGUCGUUUCACACCUCUAAACCCACUUACAGCGACGUGUAAGGCAACAGUGGCAAGUUCAGAAAAAGGACGACUUCCUCUCACCUCACGCUCACUUCUGUUACUGUUUGAGUUGUCCGUUUCCUGUAAAUCAAUUUAUGAUGAAACCAGAACAUCACAAGGGAAAGACAAGUUAAAUGAUUUUACAGGGGUUUAAUGGAAUAAUCUACAUUAGUAAAGCUCAGUUUUAUCAAUUACGAUAAAAAGUCGAUUUUUUAGUUACAGAUUUCAUUGUUGUGUGAGAGAGUGCAUGGAUUAACUGAUGUGAACAUCUGCUUAUGUUCUCGGCGUCUCGUGUGCUUCUUCUUCUUUCUCUUCACACAAAGUCGUAGAAGUUUUCAGACGUGUCACAGCUGGAUGUGAGGAUGGGACCCACUUUCCUCUGUGAGCUGGGCCUAUUCUAUGCUGUGCUAACUGUUAAACCCAGCUCGACCUUGUUCAUUGAAGAGACUGUUAGCUUCAAAUGUGACAUGAAGGAAGGAGAACACACUGACUGGGAAUACAAACUCAACAAGGAUGGUCGAGCCUUUAUCCAGUACAGCACAUACAAAAAUUACAGAAAACAAAUGAAGUCUCCCUCUGAUACUGGUAAAUACCAGUGCUCUGGUCAUAUGAAGAAAUCACAUUAUACAAAGAACAGUAAUACUGUCUCCCUAACUGUGCUGGCAGGUAAACCCAGGGCCACACUGACUCCAGGAUCAACUAU